GCGCCAAUAGCUCAGCUGGAUAGAGCGACUGCCUUCUAAGCCGUAGGUCGCAGGUUCGAGUCCUGCUUGGCGCA
rnacentral:tRNA from 2 species